GCACAGCCUGUUUAAUCUGAAGGGGGAAGGGAAAGAAACGCGAAGAAAAGGACAAAAAUCUGCGCGCCUCCAAAGCAGGCAGGCACCUCCGUGGAAAACCCACUCCCGCCUGCUGACACCUAUGCUCAUCCAACAGAUCAUGCCGACUCAAGAUGCAGAUGCAGCCUGCAGGACACCAGCUGACAGUGGAAGGACUCAGGAAGCUUGUAUAAUUUUGUACAAGAUCCACCGCAAGUUCAGCUGAAGAACUGCUCCAAAGUUUAGGUCAUGGUGUGUUGGCUUCAUUCUCCCACAUUGGGCUUUCCAUGAGUCAAGGAUGUGGCCACCAGGACCUCCUGGCUCUGAGUCUCUUACAACUUUAUGACUGAAGUAAAAAGAGGUGUUGGUCUCCCAGCUUGAAAAAUCCCAGGUUGCUCUUUAAAACAACAAGAUCAUGUCCUGCAACCAACCAUGUGGGUGGGGAGAAUGUGUGAACUCCCUAUUGAUGAUCAUAAUGCAGCUGAAGAAAAUUUGUCACCUCAGUGUGGUACAAUGUACUUACCAUGAUGCUAAAUAUCUUGUGGACACAUUUCCAGGACACAGCUCACACUCUUCUCCCUGCUGCCACCCUGUGAAAGAAGGUGCCUGCUUCCCCAUCCGCCAUAAUUGGUUCUCAGGGCACAUUAGAAAGCUGAUGAUUUGGAGCAUGGUAGGAGUGGCAGCAGCAGCUUUAGGGCAAUGCUUUCAAAAAGAUGCUCUUCAGCCCUCAGAAAGGGGUACUGCUGACUGACAACACAGCUGGAACUCUAUAUAGAGGAAAUAACACGGGCCAUCAAUAUGCCCACUCUAACAAGGGAGACCAAUCUGAUUUCUACUGGAUCACUCCAUGUCAGCGGAAACAUAUCCAUCAACUUCAUCCUUGUCUGUUGUGAUGGUUCACUUUAGAUGUAAACUUGACUGGAUUAAGGAUUACCUAAAGAACAGGCACUGUUGUAAGCACAGUGGAGAUGACGGUGAGAAAAGGUGGACAAAGUCUCUGCUUAUAUGGAAUUUACAUCCUAGAGAGGAGAAACAGAUCAUAAACAAGCAAAUUAAUCGCUUACAUUACUGGAGUUUUUAAGCUGGAAAUCUAACAUACUUUUGUCAUAAAUUUGGAUAAUACAGAGGAGUAUAAAGCAAGAAGUAACAGUGACUUCCCCAAGCUCCUUCCAAGUCCUUCCUCAAAGGGCCCUGCAGUGUGAUCCCCAGAGAAUGAUGCUGGUGUUCUUUUCCUGGCCUGUCCUGCUGCCUGUGAACUUGAGUGAUUUCAUGGCCCUGUCAAGGCAGGUGGGGCAGAAGGUGGCCCAGGCUCCCAGGUUACCUGGACCCACGUGGACCCACUGGACCUGGGAUGGAGACCGACUUAUCAAGCUGCCCAGGAUGCCAGGGUUUCCUGAAACUGUCACCCAAGCAGAGGUGAAGUAGAAGGCACAGCGAUCUGUCUGUCUGGAUGUCCACUUGGGGUGAUCUGGGGUAUGUGACUUGAAGUAAAUUGUGGCCCUGGCAAAAACCCAGGACAAAAACCAUAAUCCUUCACUUCCCCUUCCUACAACCUCCUGUGGCCUGAGAGGCCCAAUUGGAUGGCAUGUUCUCUUGCCUCAGUCUAGGGGUGGUAUUGAUACUGCAACUGUUUCUGGAUUAAUAAUAGAAUCAUUUAGUUUAUAGUGUAGGAGAGUUACUGUUCAUAUUAUUCACUCAGGUGUUUCUUUUUUCUGAAGACCUCCCAUGGGCCAGGCCCUGUGCUAGGGCCAGGACAUAGGGUGGAACACCAAGGCCUGGCCUGUGUGCUCAGGGAGCUUGCACUGUGGCUGGGAUGACAGGUUCGACACAAGCAGUUGCAAUUGAGAUGAGUGUCACGAGAAGGGAGGUCCAGGGUGAAGAAGAAGGGAAGCGACCUACCAUGGCCACACGGCUAGUCUAGUGAGCGGCUGAACUAUGAAUGAAGCCCACCUUGGUUGGACUCCUGGAUCCUUUCUCACCUCCCCAUCACUGCACCGUUCAACCCAGAGCUAUGGGGCCGCCUUGGAGGGGAACCCCAGUGGCAGCUCCCAGACGCCCCUCAGUGAGCACAUCUAGAAGAAUCACAGACAUCAUCCUUGAGCUCUUUCCAUCUCACUUCUGGGUCAGCCCAAAGGGGAAAACUUCCCCAGACACAAUCUGCCCCUUCAGCAAGUGCUCUCCAACUGCUCCCAUGAGGGGGCUUGAGAAAGGAAGAGCAUUUGAUGCGGGUAGGCAGUGCUGACCAGCCCAGAACAGCUGGCACCGACUCCAUGGUCAGGGGCAGAGCCCUCUGCAUUUAGAUGAGCAGCAGGUUUGGCCCGUGGCGCAUCAGACAGGGCUUCACUCUCCCUCUCUACAGUCCAGCCUUCAGCUCUCAGGGGUGGCUGUUCUGAAAGACCGUGGACUGGACACCGCAAAGCAGAGCAUGAGUGGCUCUCUCUUCAUCUGCUUUUGCCCUCAGGAGCUGGAUUAUGGUUGAAGGGCUCUUGCAUCUGGACGAGGUAACCAUAGAGAGAGCCAUGUUUUCCUGGGAGCCUGGACAACCUCUGUUCCUCUGGCCAUGAAGGUGGAAGAAAUGCAAGAGGGAGAGUCUGCUCAGACCUAGUGACGAUAAAGUGCCCAGGGGCUCUGGUUACCUGUGUGGCUGGGACUGUGUUUCCAGCUUUCAAAGACAUAGUCCAGGAACUAAGGAGAGAAAACUUAGGCAGAGGCUUUCUGUGGUGUGAGCUGUGCCAUGAACACUGUUCCUCCAGGCAGAGGGGUGGAGGGUGCUGUUCCCUUCUCCCAAACCAGUGGGAGUAG